UUUGCCAAAGGAGUCGGGCCUGACGGUGGAAGAUGGGAAAUGGCCAAAAGAAUAAACCAUUUCCUCUUACUUACCGAAUGAAAAGCUUGCCUCAUCUUGGCGUUCAAGACUCUCUAAUAUGAUUCCACCUGUUGGGCUCUUUCUUCCAUUUGCCUCCGCAGAUAGUGUCUGCCUUCUGGAGAGCUGACCAAACACUAAGG
rnacentral:sRNA from 1 species